rnacentral:rRNA from 1 species
GAAUAUUGGACAAUGGGGGCAACCCUGAUCCAGCCAUGCCGCGUGUGUGAAGAAGGCCCGAGGGUUGUAAAGCACUUUUAGUGAGGAGGAAAGGCAGUAAGUUAAUACCUUGCUGCUGUGACGUUACUCACAGAAAAAGCACCGGCUAACUCUGUGCCAGCAGCCGCGGUAAUACAGAGGGUGCAAGCGUUAUUCGGAAUUACUGGGCGUAAAGCGCGCGUAGGCGGAUUGUUAAGUCAGUUGUGAAAGCCCUGGGCUCAACCUAGGAAUGGCGAUUGAAACUGGCAGUCUAGAGUUUAGUAGAGGGAAGGGGAAUUUCUGGAGUAGCAGUGAAAUGCGUAGAUAUCAGAAGGAACAUCAGUGGCGAAGGCGCCUUCCUGGACUAGAACUGACGCUGAGGUGCGAAAGCGUGGGGAGCAAACGG